GUGAUUGCCUAGUAAUGCUGUCAGUAAAGUGUUUCUGUACUGCAGUCUAUGGCUAUCACAACAGCAACAUGAUUCCUACCGACAGGACCCCUCAAGCAGUUGGGUGACUUGUGCGAUGGUUUCAUACAAA